UUUGUUCUCCUCUAAUCUGGUGGCUGUUAUGCUAGAGCAGAUUCAAAUACAAUCGCAUCCACAUGGAGAAAAAACAGAUCGUAUUCUAUAUCAAUGUAUUAAAAAGCACGCCUUAAGGCUUAGAAAGCGCGAGGCGCUGUAGAAAAUGAGUGUGUUUUGCAGGUGAGGCGCAGAGGCGGACAAGGCGGCGAUGCAGGCGGAAAAGGCGGCCAAAGCGCGCCUUAAGGCGUCUAAAGCGAACGCCUGAGAUUUUUUUUUCUUUUUUUUUUUUUGAUCAAAACGACGUCGUUUUGGUGGUUUGAGAGUUAAAACUCCUUCAGGUCUCGAGCUGAAGUCAUUUUCGAUUCCUUCAGCCUCCUCCAUCAAAACUCCGACUCUUUCACUUCCAAAUCCCAAUUCCCAGGCAACAAAUUUGAUAAAAUCAUCAAGAGCCCAUGAGUUUUCUCAAGGAUUUGGCUCUAAAGGAGGCUUUUUUCGCACUUGGAGCAAGAGAUUUUCUCACUUGGAGAGUUGGAAUCGGAUUUGCAGCAAAGGAUUUAAGAUCAAACACCUUCAAGUAUAGCGAGGCUGGCUAGAGUACUAAUCACUGAUAAUUAGCUUCUGGGGCACAUGAUGUGGCUGCAUAGACAAGACUCCUUCAAGGAGAAGUUUGAGGGAUCUCAAUGAAGCCAGUAACAAUGAUGCUGAUAAUCAGCUUUUAAGCUUUGAGCCAUUACCAUCAGAAUUGUAUGUAAACAAUUCCCAACUUCUGUUUUUUUUCAGUCUGUGUGAUUGGUUUUUGAGUUUCAUUGUGUAAUUGGGAGGGAGAAUUGGUUGUCAAAAUUUAGUGUUUGGUUACAUUACAUGUUCUAUACAUAAGACUAGUUAUAUACAUAAAUACAACUAAUUUAUACGUAAGGCUUACGCCUUACGCCUCAAGGCGAACGCCUUGCUGAGGCUCUCCCGAAAACGCCUCGGCUACGCCUCAGCCUUAUAAAACAUUGUUCUA